GAUUUAUUGGAAAGGGGUAGUCUGGUGCCAGCAGCCGCGGUAAUUCCAGCUCCAAAAGCGUAUAUUAAAGUUGUUGCAGUUAAAAAGCUCGUAGUUGAACCUUGGGCUUGGUUGGCCGGUCCAUCUUUCUGAUGCGUACUGGACCCAACCGAGCCUUUCCUUCUGGCUAGCCUUUUGGCGAACCAGGACUUUUACUUUGAAAAAAUUAGAGUGUUCAAAGCAGGCCUUUGCUCGAAUAUAUUAGCAUGGAAUAAUAGAAUAGGACGUUAUGGUUCUAUUUUGUUGGUUUCUAGGACCAUCGUAAUGAUUAAUAGGGACGGUCGGGGGUAUCAGUAUUCAGUUGUCAGAGGUGAAAUUCUUGGAUUUACUGAAGACUAACUACUGCGAAAGCAUUUACCAAGGACGUUUUCAUUAAUCAAGAACGAAAGUUAGGGGAUCGAAGAUGAUCUAGAACGGUCCGAAAAAUUUCCC
rnacentral:rRNA from 1 species